GAUGAUAUCGUGUGUAAAGGACUCCCGAGACAAAAAUCAUUUCGCCGUUAUUCUAUUCUUGUCAAUAUUAUCUUGAUAACUUCUUCGUGUUUCAAAGGACUUUUUUCUUUUGUCCUUAAAAUCUCCUCUUCUACAGCAAAAAAGUGUGGAAAGUCAAUGAAUGCUAAAUAAAACAUUGCUUAAAAAAUUUGUUGAAACGACACAGAUUUUGCCUUGAAGAUGUCCAAGAUGGAACUGAGCGUGCGCUGUGGAAAAAUUUUCUUUUAUAUCACGACCUCUACUGCCGUACGCUGAUUGGACGGGGCACUCACUGCGGUAGCGCUGAUUGGCAGGCGUUCUUGUAGCCAACGUCUAUAAAUAUAGGUCGUUUUCUCCCACCACUUUAGUGAGCAGUUAACCCUUCAAGACGUAGGAUGUGUGCAGCUUGAAAAAAUAUUUUUUAAAUAUUUUAUUUGUUAUUGGGACUGGACAACCAAUUCUAAUGUUGAAGAAUGUAUAAUCACAAACACAUUUCUAUUGUUUUCCUACUAUAUCACUAUAUGUACUAUAUUAUAAAUCAACGAAAAAAGUAAUUUGUGGAAAUAGUCAUACAAAACUUGUCCGCCAAUCAUAGACAUAGCGCUGCUCACAUCCCGACCAAUCAGAGCAUAGGUUCAUAGGCUGUGCUGCUAAUGUUCAUUUCCCGUGGAGCUUUUUGGCAGAAAGUGGCGGUUUCUCUACGACGUCCAUGUUUUUUCAAGGAAAAAACUUCCUCGUUUUCUAUUUGGUGAUGCUCAUGGACAGAUGAAUUGACUUUGGCCUUAUUUCGAAGUGGAAUCUCAUCUCAUUGAAGGAGAUAAUUGGCAGUCUUGCUUUCUCCAUUGAUGGUCACACCAAUCAAAAAAGAUGGUACGACGAUUCUUUUGCAAUUGGAGAAAAAAAAUGUUGUAAGCUAUUUAGGACUCGGUCUAUUUGUAAAAUUACUUUACAAAUUUUCUCAAUAGGGGGAAUUUGUUAAAGUAAUCUAAGAGUAGGGAUCUCCGAGGACUAAAUAGCUUAAAAAGGAUCACAUGGAAGAAGCGAGUUCGCUAUUUCGUGCCAUUUGAGAAAACAAGGAAAAAUGAACCACUUUAUAGGGAAAUAAAAAGCAAAAAGAUUUUUUUUCGAAAGUUUAAAGUCAGUGCGGGUUUUUUGUACUUUUAAAUUUAGAGUCAGUGUGUUCCAGAAUAUUCAAAAUAAUUCCCAUCAAUGUUAAUUUCUAAUUAAGGUGCUAUCCUCAGUGGCUUGUGGUGUCACGUACGUUAUAGAUAAGGACAAAAGUAAACAAGGAUAUCUUAUCUCGAAAGUACAGGAUGCACUUUAUUAAGAAAUUCAUGAAAAAUGAUGAGUGUGUGCUUCAUUAAAUCGCCGACUUGUGGCGCUGUUCAACUGAACGUAAGCAACUGCCCUUGGCUCCUAACCUCAAAAGCG